GACGAACGCUGGCGGCGUGCCUAACACAUGCAAGUGGAGCGACGAACCAGGCUUCGGCCUGGGGCAAAGCCGCGAACGGGUGAGUAACACGUGGGUAACCUGCCCCGAUGAUUGGGACAACCCGAGGAAACUCGGGCUAAUACCGAAUGUGCCCCACAGCUUCAAGGCUGGUGGGGAAAGGAAGCUUCGGCCUCCGCAUCGGGAUGGGCCCGCGGCCCAUUAGCUUGUUGGUGAGGUAACGGCUCACCAAGGCUACGAUGGGUAGCUGGUCUGAGAGGACGAUCAGCCACACUGGGACUGAGACACGGCCCAGACUCCUACGGGAGGGCAGCAGUGGGGAAUCUUGCGCAAUGCGCGAAAGCGUGACGCAGC
rnacentral:rRNA from 1 species